rnacentral:snoRNA from 1 species
AUGACCUUACUUGAACAGGAUCUGUUCUAUAGGCUUGUACCGUUGCAUCCUUUACCACGAAGGAGGCAAGCACAAAAAAAAAAGGAGGAAUAGAAUUCGUUCUUGGAUCUCCUUAAAGAUGUCCUGUUUGCAUGGUAUCCAAUGAAUUUUUU